UACAGAGGUCCCAAGCGUUGUUCGGAUUCAUUGGGCGUAAAGGGUGCGUAGGUGGCGCUGUAAGUCGGGUGUGAAAUUUCGGAGCUUAACUCCGAAACUGCAUUCGAUACUGCGGUGCUCGAGGACUGGAGAGGAGACUGGAAUUCAUGGUGUAGCAGUGAAAUGCGUAGAUAUCAGGAGGAACAUCGAUGGCGAAGGCAGCCCCCCUGGGCUAGCACUGACGCUGAGGCAUGAAAGCGUGGGGAGCAAACAGG
rnacentral:rRNA from 1 species